rnacentral:sRNA from 1 species
AGGCAUCUCCUAUGGCAUGGGUCUGAAGCACAGAUUUGAGGCUGGUGCCCCCAGUGGCCCCCAACACCAAGCUGUUCUCAAAGCUCGUGGGCAGCGCCUUCACCAUCGCUGUGGUUGGGUUUGCCAUUGCCAUCUCACUGGGGAAGAUCUUCGCCCUGAGGCACGGCUACCGGGUGGACAGCAACCAGGUCUGGGUGAUGCGGGAUGUGUAGGAGGCAUCCAAGUGUAUGGAGGCGCCAGCAACGGGUGGGGGAG